rnacentral:rRNA from 1 species
UACAGAGGGUGCAAGCGUUGUCCGGAAUCAUUGGGCGUAAAGCGCGUGUAGGCGGCUCGAUAAGUCUGCUGUGAAAGUCCAGGGCUCAACCCUGGGAUGCCGGUGGAUACUGUCGAGCUCGAGUCCGGAAGAGGCGAGUGGAAUUCCUGGUGUAGCGGUGAAAUGCGCAGAUAUCAGGAGGAACACCAAUGGCGAAGGCAGCUCGCUGGGACGUGACUGACGCUGAGACGCGAAAGCGUGGGGAGCAAACAGG